ACGGGUGAGUAAUACUUAGGAAUCUGCCUAUUAAUGGGGGACAACAUCUCGAAAGGGAUGCUAAUACCGCAUACGCCCUACGGGGAAAGCAGGGGAUCACUUGUGACCUUGCGUUAAUAGAUGAGCCUAAGUCGGAUUAGCUAGUUGGUGGGGUAAAGGCCUACCAAGGCGACGAUCUGUAGCGGGUCUGAGAGGAUGAUCCGCCACACUGGGACUGAGACACGGCCCAGACUCCUACGGGAGGCAGCAGUGGGGAAUAUUGGACAAUGGGGGGAACCCUGAUCCAGCCAUGCCGCGUGUGUGAAGAAGGCCUUAUGGUUGUAAAGCACUUUAAGCGAGGAGGAGGCUCUCUUGGUUAAUACCCAAGAAGAGUGGACGUUACUCGCAGAAUAAGCACCGGCUAACUCUGUGCCAGCAGCCGCGGUAAUACAGAGGGUGCGAGCGUUAAUCGGAUUUACUGGGCGUAAAGCGUGCGUAGGCGGCUUUUUAAGUCGGAUGUGAAAUCCCCGAGCUUAACUUGGGAAUUGCAUUCGAUACUGGGAAGCUAGAGUAUGGGAGAGGAUGGUAGAAUUCCAGGUGUAGCGGUGA
rnacentral:rRNA from 1 species